AUUGAACGCUGGCGGCAUGCUUUACACAUGCAAGUCGAACGGUAACAGCACUUCGGUGGCUGACGAGUGGCGAACGGGUGAGUAAUACAUCGGAACGUGCCUAGUAGUGGGGGAUAACUACUCGAAAGAGUAGCUAAUACCGCCUGAGAUCUAAGGAUGAAAGCAGGGGACCUUCGGGCCUUGCGCUACUAGAGCGGCUGAUGUCAGAUUAGGUAGUUGGUGGGAUAAAAGCUUACCAAGCCGACGAUCUGUAGCUGGUCUGAGAGGACGACCAGCCACACUGGGACUGAGACACGGCCCAGACUCCUACGGGAGGCAGCAGUGGGGAAUUUUGGACAAUGGGCGCAAGCCUGAUCCAGCAAUGCCGCGUGCAGGAUGAAGGCCUUCGGGUUGUAAACUGCUUUUGUACGGAACGAAAAGCCCUCUUCUAAUACAGGAGGGUCAUGACGGUACCGUAAGAAUAAGCACCGGCUAACUACGUG
rnacentral:rRNA from 1 species